rnacentral:lncRNA from 1 species
GGGGAAACCAACAUUAUUUUGUUUUGGGUUUAUUUAUACUCUAUUCUGCAUACAGUACUUUAAAUGCCAAUGACAGUGCAAUCUUUAUUUAUUGUAAUGUUAAAUGUACUUAUUACUAAUGUGCCCUCCUAGCAUGUUAUAUUUUGUGUGUUUUAUACUUUUUGUAAUUUUAGGUCAGUUUAGUUCCUUGGCAACAUCUGUAGUAUUAGCCUUCUGACAUCUUUCUUGUGUUUUUAAAGAUAAGAGCAUCUAACUCAUUAAAUGCCAAAAAAAAAAAAAAUCCAUUACCAGUGAUUGAAAGGUUUACAUGUACCCAGAAACCAUAUUCAUCUCCUGGAAGAGUGCUAAGAUCAAUGCAUUGUCGCGUGCCUAUAUUGAUAGAGUUAUGCACUAGAGAGUUCUGUAUUUUGUUAUCGACUAUGGUGAUUAGUGUAAUUAGACGUGUACACUGAUGGUAUCAAGGUAAAUCUAUUUUUGCCAAAGCUCUGGCCUUCGGAAGCUCAUCCUUCCAUCGAAGUGUGUCUUUUGGCCCACUGUGACGUCACUUCUGCAUUCCCUGCGGCAGUCACAGGCGGGUGAAGGCAGAUGCAGUGGAAUGGUUUUUAAGGCUAUUCAUUCACAGGGAGAGUCUUUUUUUAAAAAAAAAACAAAACACUUCAGCACUGCUGCUGUAAAGAAUUCCCUGAAUUGUUGAAUUGUUACAAAGGAAAUUAUACUUCAGGCCAAAAACCCCUUUGAUCUUGCAGAGAUUCCGAUACUCGGUAACUCUCAGAAUGCUGAAGCGUGUGACACACGAGCCGACAGCACUUUAUUCUCUCGCUCGCCAUUAUUUGCUAUUCAUUAUAGUCUCUUCAGUCAGGAAGUUAUUCCUCUACAUGGCACUAUUCUCUAUCACAUAUCUGUAUAUGUGCUAUGGAUAUAUAACUAUAUAUAUUGCCAUUUCAAAGGAACAAUAAAACCAAGUGUUCUGUUGACCUUGUCUGUGCCCUUUGCCAUACGUAGGAAUGAGUGAGUGGCUUUCCGAUGUUCUGAUGCGUCUCUGUGUGUCACAUGCAUCCCUGACACAGGAAAUUCCAGGCAUCUGAAGCAAACUGCCCUUUGUCCUCAAAGAAAAUGUUUAAAAAGAAAACUUUUUAAAAGGCUAUUUUGCAUAUUAUCUGCCUUGUUCUUAUCACACUUGAGAUGUUGACAUUUUCUGACCCUGUGUCUUUGGCUACAAUCAUUCAGUAUUUGUGUCAAAUUUGACAAGUGCCCUAAUAGAAUGUGUUUGAAUGUUAUCCUUGCACAAUUCUUUAAAUUGAAAGACAAAAUGUUUUACCUCACUGUUGGACAUACAUUCCAGGCUUUUCGACUUUAGG